CCUCCACAGCACUCGCACCGCGCCGCCCGACCGCCCGCCCGCGAGCGAGGGAAGGCCUGUCGCAGCAACAGCGCCCCUUCCCUCCGCCACCCAGCGAGAGCAGCAGAGUGAGCAGCAGUGGCAGCAAGUGAACAACAACAGUGUGAACAGUGGCAACAGUGACAAAGGACCCGUGUGCCUCGGCUUCAAGCGGCAAUUGGACCGGAGUGACAAUGUGGCAGUGAAUGGGCGUUCGUGUGUUUGGCGGCGGCGGCUUCAUAGCGGUGCAGUGACAGGCGUUACAUCACCGGGGCGCCGCCGUGGCAACUCCGUGACGUCCACGCGACAGGGAUUAACGCGCCCUGAAGGAACCCCCCUCUCGACAUCACUGGUGAAUGAGACCGCUGUCGUCGCUCCCCCGGGCCACGAACACCAGGUGGAGGCUAUGAGGCGGGCGCCCGGCAGGCCGCGCCGGUGCCGAGGCCGGGGCCUUGGCCGGGACUGGGCGGGAGGCGGCGG